rnacentral:rRNA from 1 species
UACGGGGGGAGCAAGCGUUGUUCGGAUUUACUGGGCGUAAAGGGCGCGUAGGCGGCCACUGCAAGUCGGUUGUGAAAUCUCCGGGCUUAACCCGGAGCGGUCAAGUGAUACUGUCGUGCUAGAGUGCGGAAGGGGCUACUGGAAUUCUCGGUGUAGCGGUGAAAUGCGUAGAUAUCGGGAGGAACACCAGUGGCGAAGGCGGCUUCCUGGCCUGUUCUUGACGCUGAGGCGCGAAAGCUAGGGGAGCAAACGGG